AUGAAGGUCAGCGGUGAGAUCCCAGCCCUCCCGGACACGCAUCCUGCAAACCUCGACUGGCCCCUACCUCCGGCCCGGCCACAGGACCCGGACACAGAGGCGGGGAAGCCCCGGCCACGGCCGGCUUCGAGGACACAUACCUGCUGCCUGGGCUCGGGAUUCGCUUGGCUCUGCAGCGGUGCCGGCCGCAGCUCGCGCUCCCGGGGCUCCCCUGUCCGCCCCCCUGCCCCCUCGCGGCUCUGCCGCUCCCUGGGCUCCUCCGCCCACCGCGCUCGGGGGCGCGCGCGCGGUCUCGCUUCGGCGGCUUACCCGGGCUCGCGCCUGCGCCCUCGCCUCCCGCCGUCCGCGCGCGCGCCCCCGGCGGCUGCGGAGCGGCGGCGCGGCUGUCUAGGAAACAGCAGUCUCGGCGGGUCCGGCUGGCGGCUGCAGCCGGGCAGGGGGCGGGGGCUGGGCAGCCACCAGGGUCCGAACGCAGCGCGCCGGCGCCGUGGCGUGGCAGAAGAAAUAGAGGUGAACUAUAAAGUGAGAGCCAGUUGCCUCUCUACUCUGCAAUCUAGGAGGAAAAAAGUUUCACCCAAGGACAAAUCAGGCUUUGGGAAGAAACCUUGAUAUUACACCUGUGUUAAUAGGAAGCUGUUGAUUGAGAUUUCUGUUACAAAGUCUUCCUGUCAGGAGUAAGUCACUUUAUAAAACGAAAUUGAGAGCUUGUAAUCAUAGAGUGCUGUUUUUCAAUCUUAAACUUUUGACCAAGAAUGAAACUAUUUAAAAGUUAAGAUGCCAACAGAUCACGAAGAGCCCUGUGGUCCCAGUCACAGGUCAUUUUGCCUGAAUGGAGGGAUGUGUUAUGUGAUACCCACUAUUCCCAGCCCAUUUUGUAGAUGCACUGAAAAUUAUACAGGAGCUCGUUGUGAAGAGGUUUUUCUCCCAAGCUCCAGCAUCCAAACUAAAAGUGACCUGUUUGCAGCUUUUGUGUCAUUGACUAUUCUUCUAGGAACUCUUAUCACUGGAGCCCUCUACUUCCUUUUCAGGAAGGGCCACCUUCAGAGGGCCAGUUCAGUCCAGUAUGAUAUCAACCUGGUAGAGACAAGCAGUACCAGUGCCCACCACAGUCAUGGAGAACACUGAAGAAAUAUCACACUGAACAAAAUCAUUCCUUGUUUGUCACAAAGGCAGAAAAUGAAACUCCAUAAGGUAAAAGAGAUCAUAGGAUUUAUUCCUUCUUUCUUCCUUAAAAUAAAAAAGACUGAAGUUGCCA
rnacentral:lncRNA from 1 species